GACGAACGCUGGCGGCGCGCUUAACACAUGCAAGUCGAACGUGAAGCCCGGGCUUGCCCGGGUGGAAAGUGGCGAACGGGUGCGUAACACGUGAGCAACCUGCCCCGAAGACCGGGAUAACAGCGGGAAACCGCUGCUAAUACCGGAUGCCCUCAUCAUGUCGCAUGGCGAGAUGAGGAAAUGGAUUCCGCUUCGGGAUGGGCUCGCGGCCUAUCAGCUUG
rnacentral:rRNA from 1 species